GAGCACCGAGCUCCUCUGCGCCCCGCCCGCGUCCCCGCGUCGCCCCCACCUCCCCACAAGCUCGCCGCCCCGCCGCGGAAGCCUCGUCGCCGGUCGCCCCGACCUCGAGAUCCGCCGCCGCCAUGGGAGCCGAGCAUCGAGCUCCUCUGCGCCCCGCCCGCGUCCCCGUGUCGCCGCCGCCGCCCCACGCUGCCUCGCGGCCGUUGCGCCGCUGUAUGUUGUGCUCAAGACCGGGUUUUCUUCUAUUCCCCUUUCCAAGUCUUCCUCUCAUCUUAUCCAUUGGAGGCCGCAGCCGUCAUGUCGCUGCUGCUGCUGGUGGCGUGAUUGCCAUCGCUGUGAGAUUGCUGCUGUUCUUGGCGCCGCUUCUCGUCGUGGCCGCUGCCGUGUGGAGGCUGCUCCCGCUCCCCUGCUCCUUGCGUCGUCGUGGCCGCCGCUGCUGCCGGUGGAGCACGGGCUGCUGCUGGCCAUCGGCCCACCCCCGCUCUGUUGCUUCUCCAACUCCUUGUGUCACUCUUGGUUCGAUCUUUAGCGCUGGAGCAACAUAGUUCCUGUAGGUGGGUUAGCAUCUUGGCUGGAUUGUUUGAUGUGGCCUGUUUUGCUUGUUCAGGUAUGCCAACAGCUUGACGAACAUGUCUAUAUGCGUGUAAAUCCUGAGGACGACAUGCAUGGGAGUCUUGGGAGUAGCAUCCUCCUUGCCGCACGAGCCUCCUCCUUGCUGCAUGGGCCUCCUCCUUGCCGGAGUGAUGCCCCUCACCGGAGCAGCGCCGACCAAGCCCAUCGGCCACCAGGUUGGAAGAAAAGAAGAAGAUCCAGAGAAGAUCUUAGUGAUAAGAUAGUUUUGACUUGGUGAAACUUGCUACCUAUGGAUGAAACUGUGUAAUAUUGAUGAAACUAUGUAUAUGCAUGUAUGGAUGAAACUUGCUACUAUUUGUAAUAUGUGUUGGAUAUAUAUGUG